CGCACAUUGCGCCCUUUGGAAUUCCGAAGGGCACGCCUGUUCGAGCGUCAUUUCAACCUCAAGUCUUCUUGGUCAUGGAUCAGCGCGGCUGGUCUCAAAGUCGUCGGCGACGGUGCCUGUAGCGUGCUACUCUAUGGACGCCGUUGGCCCACUUCUCUCUCAGGUUGACCUCGGAUCAGGCGGGGAUACCCGCUGAACUUAA
rnacentral:misc_RNA from 1 species